ACGGGAGGCAGCAGUUGGGAAUAUUGCGCAAUGGGGGCAACCCUGACGCAGCAACGCCGCGUGAAGGAAGACGGUUUUCGGAUUGUAAACUUCUUUUAUUGAGGACGAAGACAAUGACGGUACUCAAUGAAUAAGCUCCGGCUAACUACGUGCCAGCAGCCGCGGUAAUACGUAGGGAGCAAGCGUUGUCCGGAAUUACUGGGUGUAAAGGGCGAGUAGGCGGACUCAACAGUCAGGUGUGAAAUACCGGGGCUUAACCCCGGGGCUGCAUUUGAAACUAUGAGUCUUGAGAGAUGGAGAGGUAAGCGGAAUUCCUAGUGUAGCGGUGAAAUGCGUAGAUAUUAGGAGGAACACCAGUGGCGAAGGCGGCUUACUGGACAUCUACUGACGCUGAGGAGCGAAAGCGUGGGGAGCAAACAGGAUUAGAUACCCUGGUA
rnacentral:rRNA from 1 species